AUGGAGAGCGCGCUGGCGGUGCCCCGGCUGCCCCCGCAUGAUCCAGGGACGCCGGUGCUGUCGGUGGUGGACAUGCACACGGGCGGCGAGCCCCUGCGUAUCGUGCUGGCGGGGUGUCCGGAGGUGUCCGGGCCCACCCUGCUGGCCAAGCGGCGCUACAUGCGCCAGCACCUUGACCACGUGCGGCGACGGCUCCUGUUCGAGCCCCGAGGGCACCGGGAUAUGUACGGGGCGGUCCUAGUCCCGAGCGAGCUGCCGGACGCGCAUCUGGGCGUCUUGUUCCUGCACAACGAGGGCUACAGCUCCAUGUGCGGCCACGCAGUGGUGGCGCUGGGCCGCUUCGCUUUGGACUUCGGGCUUGUGCCGGCGCCCCCUGCGGGCAGCCGCGAGGCCCGCGUCAACAUCCACUGCCCGUGCGGGCUGGUGACCGCCUUCGUGGCAUGCGAGGACGGCCGCAGCCACGGACCGGUGCGCUUCCACAGCGUCCCAGCCUUCGUGCUGGCUACAGAUCUCGUGGUGGAUGUUCCUGGACAUGGAAAGGUGGUGGUGGACAUUGCAUAUGGCGGUGCAUUUUAUGCAUUUGUUACUGCUGAAAAGUUAGGACUAGACAUUUGUUCUGCAAAGACCAGGGACCUUGUGGAUGCAGCGAGUGCAGUGACAGAGGCAGUGAAAGCUCAGUUUAAAAUUAAUCAUCCUGAUAGUGAAGACCUUGCCUUUUUAUAUGGAACUAUAUUAACAGAUGGAAAAGAUGCUUAUACCAAGGAACCAACCACCAACAUUUGUGUUUUUGCAGAUGAACAGGUUGACAGAAGUCCCACUGGCUCAGGAGUGACAGCCCGAAUUGCCUUACAGUAUCACAAAGGGCUUCUGGAACUGAACCAGACCAGAGCCUUCAAAAGCAGUGCAACUGGCUCAGUAUUCACUGGGAAAGCUGUGAGGGUAAGUGACACCCUUAGCGUCUUAUUUAUAAAUGUGUCACUUAUGAGACUGAAGAGGCCUGAGUUGGGUGUUUGAUAAAUUUCUUUACUCAGCUCUCAGAAGAGAAUUUUAAAGCAGGCCUGUAAAAACUUCUUUUCAGCUAGGACAUUGGUUCUCCAGUGUGGUCUUGGGGCCCCAGGGGGCCCCUAAGGUCCUUUCCAUGGGUUCAGAAGGUCAAAACUAUGUUCAUAAUAAUGACAUUAUUUGCUUUUCACUGUCGUUCUCUCAAGAGUGUACAGUGGAGUUCUUCAGAGGCUACGUGAUGUAUGAUAACCCGACCAAUUGAAUGCAGAAGCUAGAUAUGAAAACUUAGUUGUCUUCUAUUAAGCCAGACACGAAAGAGGAGCUGUUAUGAGAAGAAUCUGAGACUUCAAUGUCCCCCCAAAUAGAGAGGGAGCCGAGAGACCAAAGAAUGACUCAGACAAGUCCAGGUUGGCAAGUAGAUGCAUUUAUUAGAACUUCCAUUUAAGACACUCCUGGGAAGCAGCUGAACAACUAUGGAGACCCAUCCUGCCUCCUGACUCUAAGCUGCUUUUAAGCUAAUUUUCUGGCUCUUUGCCUACUGUGUAUGUGUGAUAGGACUGUUUUCCUUGGUAUAUUCCCAGAUAUUCUCUGGGAUAUUUGGGUUCUCAGGGAUACCUGCUCCUUGGCUGGGCACCAUGCCCUUGGCUUACCCCCCAGCCUUCAGGGUUCAAGCAGUGGACACACACCCUUACGUAACCUGGUGAAGGACCUGUCACACUACAGCAGCUUUAUAAAAAGAUAUAAACAGAUAAAGUCUUAUACCCUAACAAUAUUUGACAUUUUAUCUUUAGCUUCAGUUAUUCUUCUUUUAAAAAUUAGAACAUAAAAAGAUAUGCUGAAGUUAAGGUUUCCAGUUAUCUGUUUUAUAGUUAUUGAUCAUGCUCGCCAGAACGUCCUCACUUGUAUCAUGCUCUCUCCCUGUCUGUGUGGGCCCGUCCAGGCUCCCUGAUGGUGCUUUCUCAGUUUCUUCCCCUGCCGCAGCUUCCUUUCCCUGUCCUUCCAUUUAGAUGUUACCAUCACUUCAUCCCCACCUUCCUUCUCAUCUCUUCUACAGUUUGAUGCUGCUGGGCAAUUUCAUCCACUUCCUAGGCUUCAGUUCUCAACCAUCUACUGAUGAUGACUCCCAAACGUUUAUCCCUGCCCUGCCUACCUACCCUGUAUGUCUUUCUGAAUAUAACGCUCUUAAUCCUAACUGUUCAUUAUACUCAUCUCUAAAUGACUGUCCCAGAGGUGUCUCAAACUCACCUUGUUAAAAAGUUCUUCCUUUCUUCCUUUCUCAAAUAUGCUCUUCUUUUCUCUCCCCAUUGUGGUUAAUGGCAUCACUAGCAUCAUUUCCAAGCUAGAAACUAUGGUUUUAAUUAACUUAUUGCUAGUCCUCAAUUCCCACAUGCAUUGAUCAAGAGGCCUAUCAGUUCUACCUCCAAACUAUCUCUAUGUUAGUAUAUAUUCCCCUUCCCCAUCUUCACCGAAAACUCCCAUAGUGGCUCUGGAAUCAAUCAUUCAGUGAAUUGAGGUUCUCUCUUAACAUGUUUCUGGGUCUCUUGCCUCUCUCUUCUCCAGUUUGAUCCCCACUUUACAGCUACAGUUAUCUAAAACACAAGUCUGACCAUGUCACUCUCCUUAAAAACUUUCCCUGGCCCGUAGGAUUAACCCUUGGCCUUUCCUUCACAUGAUAAAAGUCAAGAGUACAAUUUUCAAGCCAGAUAUAAUAUGAGUGCAAUAUUUUGAUAGUAUACUCCCUUCAUCUUUUUUCAGGAAGCAAAAUGUGGUGAUUUUAAAGCUGUUAUAGUGGAAGUGUCAGGACAAGCCCAUUACACGGGUACAGCAAGUUUUAUAGUAGAAGAUGACGACCCACUGAGGGAUGGAUUUCUUCUCAAGUGACUUCUUCCAUGAUUUUAAGGGCGUUCUUUUUAAAGUAAUCAUUAUCCUUGAGGACUGUUUUCUCUAAAUUAUAUGAAAACAAAUAAUCAAAUUA